CCUACGGGGGGCAGCAGUGGGGAAUAUUGGACAAUGGGCGAAAGCCUGAUCCAGCCAUGCCGCGUGUGUGAAGAAGGCCUUCGGGUUGUAAAGCACUUUCAGUGGGGAAGAAAGCCUUGGGGCUAAUACCCUCGAGGAAGGUCAUCACCCACAGAAGAAGCACCGGCUAACUCCGUGCCAGCAGCCGCGGUAAUACGGAGGGUGCGAGCGUUAAUCGGAAUUACUGGGCGUAAAGCGCGCGUAGGGCGGUCUGAUAAGCCGGUUGUGAAAGCCCCGGGCUCAACCUGGGAACGGCAUCCGGAACUGUCAGGCUAGAGUGCAGGAGAGGAAGGUAGAAUUCCCGGUGUAGCGGUGAAAUGCGUAGAGAUCGGGAGGAAUACCAGUGGCGAAGGCGGCCUUCUGGACUGACACUGACGCUGAGGUGCGAAAGCGUGGGUAGCAAACAGGAUUAGAUACCCGGGUAGUC
rnacentral:rRNA from 1 species